rnacentral:rRNA from 1 species
UAGUGGCGCACGGGUGCGUAACGCGUGGGAAUCUGCCCUUGGGUUCGGGAUAACCGUUGGAAACGACGGCUAAUACCGGAUGAUGACGUAAGNCCAAAGAUUUAUCGCCCAGGGAUGAGCCCGCGUCCGAUUAGGUAGUUGGUGGGGUAAAGGCCUACCAAGCCGACGAUCGGUAGCUGGUCUGAGAGGAUGAUCAGCCACACUGGGACUGAGACACGGCCCAGACUCCUACGGGAGGCAGCAGUGGGGAAUAUUGGACAAUGGGCGAAAGCCUGAUCCAGCAAUGCCGCGUGAGUGAUGAAGGCCUUAGGGUUGUAAAGCUCUUUUACCCGGGAUGAUAAUGACAGUACCGGGAGAAUAAGCCCCGGCUAACUCCGUGCCAGCAGCCGCGGUAAUACGGAGGGGGCUAGCGUUGUUCGGAAUUACUGGGCGUAAAGCGCACGUAGGCGGCUUUGUAAGUUAGAGGUGAAAGCCUG